UCGAUUUGGAGUUUGUUGCCUAGAGUGAUGGGCUCCGAAGCUAACGCGAUAAAUCGACCGCCUGGGGAGUACGGCCGCAAGGUUAAAACUCAAAUGAAUUGACGGGGGCCCGCACAAGCGGUGGAGCAUGUGGUUUAAUUCGAUGCAACGCGAAGAACCUUACCUGGUCUUGACAUCCACAGAAUCUUGCAGAGAUGCGAGAGUGCCUUCGGGAACUGUGAGACAGGUGCUGCAUGGCUGUCGUCAGCUCGUGUUGUGAAAUGUUGGGUUAAGUCCCGCAACGAGCGCAACCCUUAUCCUUUGUUGCCAUCGGUUCGGCCGGGAACUCAAAGGAGACUGCCGUUGAUAAAGCGGAGGAAGGUGGGGACGACGUCAAGUCAUCAUGGCCCUUACGACCAGGGCUACACACGUGCUACAAUGGCGUAUACAAAGGGAGGCGACCUCGCGAGAGCAAGCGGACCUCAUAAAGUACGUCUAAGUCCGGAUUGGAGUCUGCAACUCGACUCCAUGAAGUCGGAAUCGCUAGUAAUCGUGAAUCAGAAUGUCACGGUGAAUACGUUCCCGGGCCU
rnacentral:rRNA from 1 species